UUAAAGAUUGAAAUGUAAACGCGUGAUAAAUGUUGUAUUAUAAAGUCUAUGUGAUAACAUGAUGAUGAUAAUGUGUUGCUUGUGUAUUGUUUUAUGGAUCUCACCCAGGUAAAUGGAAAGUAAACAUUUUUAUGAACAAAUGGGUUUAUUACAAAUUAUGCUCAAUUGGUCGUUUUUGUUUUUUACCCACCCUUACUCCUGUAGCAGUGAGGUAGAGUGAUGUCUUUAC
rnacentral:lncRNA from 1 species